rnacentral:rRNA from 1 species
AGAGUUUGAUCCUGGCUCAGGAUAAACGCUGGCGGCGUGCCUAACACAUGCAAGUCGAACGCCCCUUCGCAAGAAGGGAGUGGCGGACGGGUGAGUACCACGUGGGUUAUCUGCCUCCGGGUGAGGAAUACCGGCGAGAAAUCGCCGACAAUACCGCAUAGCUUCGCAAGAAGAAAGCUCGCAAGGGCGCCGGGAGAUGA